UGAAAAUAAAGUGUUGUUAAAACGUGUUUCCUGUAGUAUAAAUAACAUCACCACCUACACCAUGGAAGUCGUGGUCAUCAUCCUUGUGAAAGAAGAAGGAAGCAAAAAAAGAAAAUGGCCGAUGGCAGCACAGCUACCUGCUUCGAUAUCCUCAUUUCCAUCAUCCUCCCUCCUCUUGGAGUUUUUCUCAAGUAUGGCUGCAAGUUAGAGUUCUGGAUCUGUUUGCUGCUCACCAUUCUCGGCUACAUUCCUGGAAUUAUCUAUGCUGUCUAUGCCAUCACCAAGUGAAACUCAUCAUAUUCAUCAUCCACCUUUUCUAAGUGGACAGUGAUUGAGUUUCAGAGGAGCGUCAUCAUUUGAUCUUCGGUGGACUCACGUGAUGCUUUCGUUUUCGGUUUAUCAGUGUCAAUAUUCCGUUUCCGUGUUGUGUUUUUUCAUUACUGUUAUUUCCUUAUGUGGAACCAAAUAUGGACCUUGUGUCCUCUAAUUUUAACGCAUGCUUAUCAAAUUGAAUUCGUAAUAGUUAUCUUCUUCCUCUUCUUUCGUAUAUAUUAAUGUAUUCUCUAAAUUUUCUUCGUAUUUAAAAG
rnacentral:sRNA from 1 species